rnacentral:lncRNA from 1 species
UUUGUUUCACCGAAAGUAAAGCACUAAUAAAAGGCUUCGUUUAGUAUAGGGUUUACAUAACCGACCGUCCAUAGAGCAAGUGGCAAAAGGUUUGGUAGUUGGUACCCGAGACCCAAGUUCGAAUCCAAGUUGAUUCACAUUUUCAGCUAAGUUUAUUUCUAAAUGAAAUAAACGAAGCGCGUAGCGUGCUAUCUAUUUCUUAAAAAAAAAAAAAAAGUAUAGGGCUUACAUAAAAACUGCUCAUUUUAGUGAUAGGUACAAGUUUCGAUAUAAGUAGAACUAAAGUAAAUUUUUAUUUAGAUAAAAAUUAAAUUAUUUCUGAGAAUAAGAUAAAUAGUAUUUGAAUGAUUAGAUUGAAAUGAUAAAAUUUUUUUAAAUUAAUGAUGUUUUAUCUAAUUAAUAAAUAUCAAAAUUAAGGAGGGGAAUAAGAACUUAUUCCCCUCCUUAUACUCGAACCAAAUGCUACUUAAGUAAAUUUUUAGAUGAGUAAGAGUUUAAGUAAACAAUAUUUUUCUUUUGCUGUAUUUUGUAUAGCUGUGAAACUAAUUUUUUAUAGUUCUGUUGUUUAUUUGAUACAAAGUUGGUUUAAUAUUUAUUUUUUUUUUGUUGACUUCUUCAUUGGGUGGCCGAAAUCAAUUACAGUACUUUGGAUUAUUUGAAUUUCGAUUAAAAGUGGAGCUUAGAAGCACUUUCAAAUUUAUUUAUUUUUUAGUAUAUUAAAACAACUAGCUAGCUAGACUUAAAUAACCCUAAACAGUUUUAUUCUACAGCAAAACCAGAAACACUAAGUUGGAUUCUAUAGUUAAUGCUUAGAAUUUAAUUUUUUACUUUGCGUUUUUGCCAAAAGCUCUGCAUUUAUUUAUUUUUAUUUUUUCAUCGUCAAACACCAUUCUAAAAUUACUAUUGCUAAAAGCUAAAGCAAAAUGUGGGGUCAAACAGUCUCUUAUCCCUGAAUGACAUGUGCUGCAUAUAAAAAUAUUAAAAAUAUUAUUUUCUAACGGUUUAAACUUUUAAAGGCAAUUGAUUAUUUUACAUAACAUCAGAGUAUAUGAGGUCUUGAGUUCAACUUUCACUAAGUUUAGAGUUUUAUAAAAUUUUUAUAAAAUUUCCUCCCAUAAAACCCCAAUGUGAGAGUAAUGAAUGUAAAAAAUUAAAAAUAUCAUUCUCUCGCAAAUUCACAGCAAAAGAUUGAAAAUGAGAGAUUACAAUGAUUGGAUAAAAAUUAUGAGACUGAAUGAAGAGAGAUAGCAGGUUGUGAGACUGUACGAAGGGAGAUGGAUGGAGAUUAUGAAAUUGAAUGAAGGAUGAUUAGUGAUUGUGAGACUGGAUGAAGGGAGAUGGAUGGGGAUUAUGAAAUUGGAUGACAAAAGAUCAUUGAUUAUGAGAUUGGACGAAGGGAGAUGGAUGAAGAUUAUGAAAUUGGAUGAAGAAAAAUCGGUGAUUAUGAGACUGGAUGAAGAGAGAUGGAUGGAGAUUAUGAAAUUGGAUGAAGAUUAGUAAUUAUGAGACUGGAUGAAGGAAAAUGGAUGGGUAUCAUGAAAUUGAAUGAAGGAAGAUCGGCGAUUAUGAGAAUGGAUGAAGGGAGAUAGAUGGAGAUUACGAAAUUGGAUAAAGGAAGAUCGGUUACGAGAAUGGAUGAAGGGAGAUGGAUGGAGAUUAUGAAAUUGGAUGAAGGCAGAUCAGUGAUUAUGAGACUGAAUAAAAAAAAAUAGAUGGAAAUUAUAAGACUAGAUAAAGAGCGAUAGGCGGGUUAUAAGAUUAUAUCAAGAACACUCAAAGUUUCACACAACUAGAUUGGAUAGUGCAUUGGCCAAUUGAUGUGGUGCACUAGGUGUAACCAUGUGGAAAUGAUUAGAUAAUAAAGAAGCUUAUAGAAAUAUGCUUGUUUUUUUUUUUUUUUUUUUGUAAAAUUGCAGAAAAUUAUAUAACUAAUUUACUGUAAUAUGCACUGUUAGUUUAAAUGGGCCAGCAUCCUACCCUGUGGUAGGGGGCCCUGUUGAGCCGAGUCAUGUUCGAAAUGACGUGAGUCUGGAUGGGCGAAGUCAUGUUUAAAGUGGCGUGAGGCUGGUUGGACGAGACCUGUGAGCGCUGUAUCUGUACGCUUUAAGUAAAUUAGUUGCGUAUUUUUAACAGCUCGAGCUUUUGGGAUUAAUGGUUAGCGCCAACGAUCCGACAAGUGGUAUCAGAGCCAGUGGUCACGGGUUCGAUUCCCGCAUGCUGCAAAUGUAUCCAGGUGCUAGAGGGAGGAUUGUUGGCUUAAAUGGGCCAGCAUCCUGCCAUGUUGGGCGGAGUCAUAUUCAAAAUAGCGUGAGCCUGGGUGGGUCGAGUUAUGUUCGAAGUGGCGUGAGGCUGGUUGGGCCAAGUCAUAAUCGAGACCCGUGUGCGCUGUAUCUGUAUACUUUAAGUAAGUUGGUUGCGUAUUUCUAAGUCAUACUUUAAUUCUUACCGCAUACAAUCCAACUCCUCGUAAUUCCAAACGAAGCCAAAGUUUAGACGACGAUUAUGAGACUGGAUGAAGGGAGAUGGGAUAGUUCCGUGCAGAAUAGCUAUCCCGUGCAGAAUAGCUACACAGAAUUUUUUAGAGUUUUCUGUAACGACCCAGCCCACUAGCAACAAUAACUCGUUGGGCCCAAUCAACAGCCCAAAAUGCCCAAUGACAACCCCUUUUCCAUCCGAUGUGGGACUAUUGGGGUGUCACAGACUCCCCCUGUUAAGGCCCUGACUGACAACCCCUUUUCCAUCCGAUGUGGGACUAUUGGGGUGUCACAGACUCCCCCUGUUAAGGCCCUGACGUCCUUGUCAGUCCAAUCACACACACAACCCAAGAUCACCAGGCGAUGUGAGACUCGUCUCGCUAGCCCGUCAUCCAGACCCUGACUCAGCCGAGACUCGCCACACAUGUCCAGCUGGUGAACCGGCUCUGAUACCAAAUGUAACGACCCAGCCCACUAGCAACAAUAACUCGUUAGGCCCAGUCAACAGCCCAAAAUGCUUAAGCCCAAUUAUUAUUACUAGUGUCUAAGUCUCUUAUAAACCCAAUGACAACCCCUUUUCCAUCCGAUGUGGGACUAUUGGGGUGUCACAUUUUCUGAUUCUUUAAAAAUCACAUAACAAUUUAAAACCCUAGCUCUUUAAUUUUUUUUUUUUCCGGUAGCAUUUUAUUGGCACAUAUAUAAAUAUGGAAAACCGGAGCAGCAACGACGAGGAAAUAAAGAGAGAAAAUCCCGAGGGAAUUGGUAUAUUCAAAACCUGAUUUGGGGUUCAAAGAGUUGCUCCCAUGUGUGUGUGUGUGUGUGUGUGUGUGUGUGUGUGUGUGUGUGUGUGUGUGUAUAAUAUCGUUAUGUGACUAAAUUCCCUUGAACUUGGAUUCCUUUUCUUUGCACUUGCACAAUUUUCUUGUUUACGCGUCAAACUAUGAGCAAAUACUUAAUCAAAACCCAUAAGUUCAAAUAUACUGAUCGUAUCUAACAGAUUGCAAAAUGCACAAUGUAAUAUUUUGCAUGAAAACGAAUAAAAUAUUUUUCUAUCAUACUUUUACAUUAGAUGUAAUGUAAUCUACUCCUCGUAGUCUCAAACAAAAUCGAAGUCAAUAACAAUGAAUCCCUAACAUGGAGGCAGGGAUUAAUUACUAUUUCCCCAAUCAAAAUAUCAAAGCUUUGAACUUAUCCAUGCUCCUCCUUUUUCGUGUCAACAGGGUUAUUAAUUUCUAAAGCUAGGAAUUAAGGUUUCUUUUCUAAAGCUAGGAAUUAAGGUUUCUUUUCACAGGAAUUAAGUUGAAAUCAAAUUCCUCAGAACCACAAAAGAAAAUUUUUAUAGCAGGCCCUAUUUUGAUGUUUGAGUAACAAUGUUAAAAUUUUCUUGUGUGACUCCUCGAAAGCUUUCGAUAUCUAUGAUUUGAUAGGAUCAUAUAUUUUACCAACCUACGAGAUAAUUUAUCUUAUUCCGAAAAAAUGACUUGAAAAUUGAAUAUGAUAUUCCAUACAUUCUAGACAGUUCAGCACAUUCCUCACUUAUCAAAUAUAUAAACUUUCUGAGCAAAUUUUUAGAGAGAUAUGUCUAAUAAGAUACUUAAUAUAUAUCCAAACAAAGCACCAGCGAUCCACAAAAAAAUAUUUGUAAUUAUCUUGAUUUAACUUUUUGUCUAAAUUGAUAUGAGUGUUAAUUAGCUAAAAUGACCUACUCGCUUAGUUAUUAAUCAUGCAUUAAUGGUUAUUCAAGUAUGUGAUUUUGUCAGCUGAAAAAGUAUUUACGAAUAAUUAAAUUAGUGUAAUUACUAUUAAUAUUACUAAACAAAAUCCUUAACCUCUAUUAGUAAAAACAAUUUAAAUAAAACAAGUUAAAAAUUGAAGGAGUGUUAAUAAACAAAAAAGUGAAGUUCAGGGGUUUAUUUCAAAAUGGCAUAUAGAAUUGAGGGGGUCAAGUUCAUUUUAUCCUUCUUAUUUGCCCCCAAAAAAAUCUCCAAAUCAUUGGCUAUAUAUAUAUAUAUAUCUUAGAUACAUAGCUCCUAGCAUAAAUUAGGCACAUUCUGGGAAAAAGGUAUCUCCAAGUAUACAAUUUGCACAAAUUAGGUAAGUUCAAAAAGUAAACUAUUUAAGUAAAAAAUUACUCAUUAAAUUGCAAAUCAUCACAAGUUCAAGUGAUUAUUUUACUGCAAGUUAGAAGAAGGGAUUUGGGGAGGAAAAAACUAAAUUUUUUUUAUAAAUAAUAGUAAAAAAGCAACUAGGUGGUUAAUUAGUCAAAGGAAUAGAAUCAAUAGGAACAACCACAUCAACAUCAUCACCAUCACCAUCAUCUACCCCAAUCCUUAUCUUGUAUAAUAUGUAUGCAUAGAGAGAGAGAGAGAGAGUUCAGCGUGAAUGCUUGUAAUGAUAUAAAAUAUUUAGUGCUAUCAAAUUUUUUACUGUUAAAUUUAUCUUUUUAAUUAUUUUCAUUCGUUAAAUUAUACUAUUCAACUAACUACCCACUUAAAUUUUGGGGCUACUAUCAUUCAAACUGCACAUCUUUUCAUCCAAAAACCGAAAAUCUAAUAGCGCUAAUAACUUAAUUAGUGCUAUUAGAAGCAUUCCAAUCUAAUUACUUAUAUAUAUAUAUAUAUAUAUAUAUAUAUAUAUAUAUAUAUUUAUAUAUAUACAUUAUCUAAGAUCUUUUUGUAUCUAAUUAGUCCAUAGUACGCUAUUAUUUAAUGCAUGCAUAUGGACUCCUCACCACUUCCAUGAAAAAGAAGGAAAUUAUAUAAUCUUUUGCUUGUGGAUUGUAAAUUGCACCAAUUUGAUUAGUCAAAGAGAGAGAGGGGGGCAAGAGAGUGGAAUAAAUGAAUGGAUCAUGGAUGAUGCUUGUAGGGCUCAAAAUAGAGAAAAUUUUGCCUACACCAGAAGUAUUUGUAUGUGUCAUAUAUAUGGAGAGAAAUCUAAUAGGAGUAUCUGUAUAUGUCAUAUAUAUGUAGAGAAAUCUAAUACGAUAGAUAUAAUCAUUAGCAUAUAAAAUUCAUAUAUAUAUAUAUAGAACUAAGUUAUAAGUUUUAAAAAAUUUAUUACCUAAACAUCGAAUAGUCUUAAGAUCUAACAUGUAGAAAGGGCAAUUAAUCAAUUGUAAAAAAUCCAAUAUCCAAAAUUUAUAAUUUUUUAUGUAGUCUUUUAAAUAUAAUAAUAUCCAUGUAACAUGGAAUUUUAGGACACUAGUAUAUAAAAUGUUGUUCGAAAAUUCAACAGUAUAGAACAUACCGAUUUUCAAUUUAUAAUAAUAAUAAACUCAUACUAAAAAUUUAUAAUUUUUGACAUAUAGACAUUUUGCAUGCCUUAGAAUAUAUGUGAUCGAUGAAAUGAAUUCUGAUUUAAUUAAUUCUUUGGAAUAGAAUUUUAGAGAUACAAUGUAUAUAUGUGAUGUAGUUAUACACCUGGUGUAGGCAAUAGUUUCUCCUUAUAAUUAUAUGUACUCCAGUGGAUGAGGGAAGGAUAAGAUAAGGGUAUUAUUAUUAUUAUUAUUAUUAUCAUCAUCAUCUUUAUCAUUAUUUUUAUUGUUUUUUAGGCUUGUCCAGAUAUUGUCCUUUGCAUGUGGUCUCCACAUGGGGAGGAAGAGGGUGUAAAGUGGAAUCUUGCACAGGAUAUUCUUUAGUAUGUUGUUGUGCCUACCACAUUUAUAUUUCUUUCUAGGUUUCUAAUAGUUGUCAUUUUCCUACAUAGCAGAAGCCAUAGAUAUUUUCUCACUCUAGUACAUGUCUAGAGAGAGAGUCCGACUAAAGUACUUCUAAUAGCACUAAGCAUUUCAUGCUACAAAGUUUUUCACAUCCAGAUUUAUUCUUUUGACUAUUUUUAUCCGUUAGAUCAUACUAUUCAAUCAACUACCCACUUUAUUCUAGGGGACCAUUAUUAUUCUCUAAUCGCACAUCCUUUUAUCCAAAGGUCAAAAAUAUUCUAAUAGCACCAACGACUCCGAUGUGCUAUUAGAAGCAUUCCAGCCUGCUUUUCUAUAUAUAUAUAUAUAGAAUUAUGCUACUAUACUAUCAAUAGUACCAAGCCCUUUGUACUAUUGAGUUUUCGGCCGUUGGAUGAAAGAAUGUGCGGUUAGGAUGAUAGUGAUCCCCUAGGGUUGAGUGGGUGGUUGGUUUAAUAGUUUAAUCUAACGGGUGAAAAUGGUCAAAAGGUAGAUCUAACGGUAGAAAACUCAAUAGUACCAAGGGCUUAGUAUUAUCGAUAGUAUAGUAGCCGGACUCAUAUAUAUAUAUAUUUUUAUCUAAGGGCCGAAAACCUAAUAGUACCAACAACUUGGUGCUAUUAAUAGCAUUCCAGCCUAGUUCUAUAUAUAUAUAGUUUGGAUUAUAUAUACAUAAUUAAGACUACAGUGGUAUUUUAGAAAGCAUAUCAGCUCAGUUCUAUAUAUAUGUGUAUAAAAGAAUUAUUGGCUACACCGAAUAAUUUCUCCUCACUUAGCAUUUUUUUUAAUUAUAUACUUUGAAACCUACUGUGUGUAGACAUCCGAUGAGCGCAAACUGAGAAUUUUAAUGAAGGUGCAGUGUAUGAGAGAACUAAUACAUCCAAUGUAGACAAUAAUAAAGAGAGAGAGAGAUCUAGAGAGAGAGAGAGGGGGGAUCUUUGUAGUCAAAAUAUGAUCCAUGCUCAGUGCAUGAUAAUCUUGUAAUUAAGAUGAUUUAUCCUCUGGGGGAGCAAGAUGAAGUGGCCAAUAUUGAUUCCACGCAGCAUGCAUAAUUUGACCAGUGCCUUAUAAUGGAGGCAAAGUAUGGGAAGAAAACACAUGCAUUAUAGUGACAGGAAAGAAAAAAAAAAAAAAAAGCAAAGGCUGAGAAUGCUUAGCGUUUUCUUUGUUUUUAUCAUUAUUAGUUGUCUACGAAUGUGUGCAUAAGAUGUUUCUAGAUGACCAGAUUCUUUGACUGUAUUCCGUUUGAUUGGGUUUGUUUUUUUUUUGAACAUUUUUUUUUGUAUCAGAAGUAGAAGAUAAUUAUUUAGCGAAAAAUUUUAGUUGGAAUAGAAAGUUCAGCUUUUACUGCUGGUGCGUGUUGAACUCACAAUGCAAGAAAAUUUCACCAAUAGAAUUGUGAGAGUUUUCUCAACUAGCUCUAGUAAACUAGUCGUUCUAUCAAGUAGGGCCGGCAAGAGCGAAAGCCAGCUUGUGUUCGGCUCGAAAUGAGUUCGAAAUCGGCCACUCAUUUAACAAAAACGAGUUGAACAUGAGCUAAAUUUUCAGCUCAAGAUCUUAAUAAGCCAAAUACAAGCUAGGGUAAGCUCGCUCGUGUUCAGCUCGAUAUAGUUUGAAUAUUUAUAUAUUUAUUUCAUCCAGCAAUAGGGCUGACAAUCUAAAUUAUUAUUUGCCAGCUAGCUCUUGUGUUUGGCUCGUUAAGAAACAAGCUGAACACGAGUUGAAUUUUUCAGCUCGAUAUUUUAACGAUUCGGCUCGUGUUCGACUGAUUGACAACAGCCUAGUUCUAUAAAAAAUCGCAUACUAUGUACAAUCAUUUAACCAUUAAAAGCCCAAAUAAGGAUUUCUUUUUCAGCCCAAUUAUUUAAAUUGAAAUAAUGGAACAAAGCGUUAAAAUGCCUCAUAGAUGUUUCCGUACUAUACAAAAUUUAGAUUGUGGUUGAUUGAACUCUGUAAUGCGAUCGAAUCACUGAAUUAAUUCGUAUAUUGUAUGUGAGAAGCCCCAUCGCAAUUUAUCGUUACACUACAAUAGAAUUAGAUUAUAAAAAUACAUUUUUGAGAUACUUUUGUGUAAAUGUCUCAUUUAUGUCAAAUUUUUUUUUAAAAAUAUAUUAAGACUUAAAUAUAAAGUCCAAUCUAAUAAAAAAUAAAAAGUUCUUCUACUCAACCAACCCCACCUAGUCUACUUGGCCCGAUUACAAAUAGAAAAGAAAAAAAAAAAGAAAAAUUGAUUACCAUCUUCCCUUCUCCUCCUUUGUCGUUGCAGCCGACGAGAUAGGAUUCCAGCGGCUGGAGUUUGGCCACGAGGAUCUCGCAGGGACUGUAGAGGGUUACAAUCGCCACGUGUCUCUCCGCCACAGAUCGCUGGAGAAAUAGAUGCCAAACAUCAAAGCGGCCCCACAUAUAGCGACCUUAUAUAUAGUAACACUUUUAAAAGUGUUAGUAAUUUAGCCAGCAGUAUUUUUUUUUGACAUAUACCGAUAUUUAAAAUUGUCGCUAUACACUGUUUUUAUUGUAGUUCACCACUAUAUAUUGUGACAAUAUUUUC